GCACAAGCGGUGGAGCAUGUGGUUUAAUUCGAUGAUACGCGAGGAACCUUACCUGGGCUCAAAUGUAUGUUGACGUAUUCUGAAAGGGAUACUUCUUCGGACAAUAUACAAGGUGCUGCAUGGUUGUCGUCAGCUCGUGCCGUGAGGUGUCGGGUUAAGUCCCAUAACGAGCGCAACCCCUAUCAUUAGUUGCCAUCAGGUCAAGCUGGGGACUCUAAUGAAACUGCCUACGCAAGUAGUGAGGAAGGUGGGGAUGACGUCAAAUCAGCACGGCCCUUACGUCCAGGGCUACACACGUGCUACAAUGGCCGGUACAAAGGGCAGCUACCUGGUGACAGGAUGCUAAUCUCAAAAGCCGGUCUCAGUUCGGAUCGGAGUCUGCAACCCGACUCCGUGAGGUCGGAAUCGCUAGUAACCGCAGAUCAGCUACGUUGCGGUGAAUACGUUCCCGGGCCUU
rnacentral:rRNA from 1 species